CCUACGGGUGGCAGCAGUAGGGAAUAUUGCUCAAUGGGGGAAACCCUGAAGCAGCAACGCCGCGUGGAGGAUGAAGGUUUUCGGAUUGUAAACUCCUGUUGUUAGGGAAGAUAAUGACGGUAUCUAACGAAUAAGCACCGGCUAACUCCGUGCCAGCAGCCGCGGUAAGACGGAGGGUGCAAGCGUUAAUCGGAAUCACUGGGCGUAAAGCGCGCGUAGGCGGGAUAGCAAGUCACAUGUGAAAUCCUAUGGCUUAACCAUAGAACUGCAUUUGAAACUGGUAUUCUAGAGUAUGGUAGAGGUAGGUGGAAUUCUUGGUGUAGGGGUAAAAUCCGUAGAGAUCAAGAGGAAUACUCAUUGCGAAGGCGACCAGCUAGAACAUAACUGACGCUGAUGCGCGAAAGCGUGGGUAGCAAACAGGAUUAGAUACCCUUGUAGUC
rnacentral:rRNA from 1 species